UACGGGGGGGGCAAGCGCUGUUCGGAAUUACUGGGCGUAAAGGGCUCGUAGGUGGCCAACUAAGUCAGACGUGAAAUCCCUCGGCUUAACCGGGGAACUGCGUCUGAUACUGGAUGGCUUGAGUUUGGGAGAGGGAUGCGGAAUUCCAGGUGUAGCGGUGAAAUGCGUAGAUAUCUGGAGGAACACCGGUGGCGAAGGCGGCAUCCUGGACCAACACUGACACUGAGGAGCGAAAGCCAGGGGAGCAAACGGG
rnacentral:rRNA from 1 species